GCAUAUCAAUAAGCGGAGGAAAAGAAACCAACAGGGAUUGCCCUAGUAACGGCGAGUGAAGCGGCAACAGCUCAAAUUUGAAAUCUGGCGUCUUUGGCGUCCGAGUUGUAAUUUGCAGAGGGCGCUUUGGCAUUGGCAGCGGUCCAAGUUCCUUGGAACAGGACGUCACAGAGGGUGAGAAUCCCGUACGUGGUCGCUAGCCUUUACCGUGUAAAGCCCCUUCGACGAGUCGAGUUGUUUGGGAAUGCAGCUCUAAAUGGGAGGUAAAUUUCUUCUAAAGCUAAAUACUGGCCAGAGACCGAUAGCGCACAAGUAGAGUGAUCGAAAGAUGAAAAGCACUUUGGAAAGAGAGUUAAAAAGCACGUGAAAUUGUUGAAAGGGAAGCGCUUGCAGCCAGACUUGCCUGUAGUUGCUCAUCCGGGUUUUUACCCGGUGCACUCUUCUAUAGGCAGGCCAGCAUCAGUUUGGGCGGUUGGAUAAAGGUCUCUGUCAUGUACCUCUCUUCGGGGAGAACUUAUAGGGGAGACGACAUGCAACCAGCCUGGACUGAGGUCCGCGCAUCUGCUAGGAUGCUGG
rnacentral:rRNA from 1 species